rnacentral:lncRNA from 1 species
UGAUUCAUGAGACCAUUUUGUCCUCGUUUUGCGAGUGAAACUUCUGGCAGAUAGGCCAUCCUUUGAUGUCUCUUUAGUGCAAGAUUUAACUCUCUCCAAUUUCUGGGAAGGUGCAUGUGAUACGAGACUUUCUAAUCCGUUUUCACAAUCAUGUUUUUUCUCGUUCUUCUCAGCCUCGAGGAUUUCAAGCUUUGAUUGCGGAACUUUAGCCUGCUCAGUAGAUUGCAAAACUUCAGGCUUAGUCUCAUUAUCAUCGGCAGAUGCUGCUGGAACCUGGGAUUCAGGAGACCAGUUUGUCCUCGUUUCGUGAGUGAAACUUCCAGUAGACAGGCCAUCCUUUGAUGUUUCUUUAGUGGAAGAUUUAACUCUCUCCAAUUUCUGGGAAGGUACAUGUGAUACAGGACUUUCUAUGCCAUUUUCACAAUCAUGUUUUUUCUCGUUCUUCUCAGCCUCGAGGACUUCAAGCUUUGAUUGCGAAACUUUAGCCUGCUCAGUAGGUUGCAAAACUUCAAGCUUAGUCUCGUUAUUAUCGGC